GAGCACAAUUUAGUGUCUUGGUGUCUUGUCUGUGACCUUCCAAGUCUCAUUCUUGUGCAAGAUUAAGUUCCAGUUGGAGUGAGAAUUGAGCUUUUACUUGUAGCAUUUUCCUUUCAAAGACUGGAGACAAUU